rnacentral:rRNA from 1 species
GUUGUGGUUAAAAAGCUCGUAGUUGGAUCUCAACAGCCUUGAAGCGGUUAACUUUGUAGUUUUACUGCUUUAUAGGCUGUGCUUUUGCUGGAGGUUUAGGGGUGCUCUUGAUCGAGUGUCUCUGGAUGCCAGCAGGUUUACUUUGAAAAAAUUAGAGUGCUCAAAGCAGGCUAAAAUGCCUGAAUAUUCGUGCAUGGAAUAAUAGAAUAGGAUGUCGAUCCUAUUUUGUUGGUUUUCGGGACUCGACAUAAUGAUAAAUAGGGACAGUCGGGGGCAUUUGUAUUCAAACGACAGAGGUGAAAUUCUUGGACCGUUUGAAGACAAACUACUGCGAAAGCAUUUGCCAAGAAUGUUUUCAUUAAUCAAGAACGAAAGUUAGAGGUUCGAAGGCGAUUAGAUACCGCCCUAGUUCUAACCAUAAACGAUGCCAGCUAGCGAUCUGCCUGCGUUUUUACUGUAGACUGGGCAGGAAGCUUCCGGGAAACCAAAGCAUUUGGGUUCCAGGGGAAGUAUGGUUGCAAAGCUGAAACUUAUAGGAAUUGACGGAAGGGCACCACCAGGAGUGGAGCCUGUGGCUUAAUUCGACUCA